UACGAAGGGGGCUAGCGUUGCUCGGAAUCACUGGGCGUAAAGGGUGCGUAGGCGGGUCUUUAAGUCAGGGGUUAAAUCCUGGAGCUCAACUCCAGAACUGCCUUUGAUACUGAGGAUCUUGAGUUCGGGAGAGGUGAGUGGAACUGCGAGUGUAGAGGUGAAAUUCGUAGAUAUUCGCAAGAACACCAGUGGCGAAGGCGGCUCACUGGCCCGAUACUGACGCUGAGGCACGAAAGCGUGGGGAGCAAACAGG
rnacentral:rRNA from 1 species